UACGUAGGGUGCGAGCGUUAAUCGGAAUUACUGGGCGUAAAGCGUGCGCAGGCGGUUUUGUAAGCCAGAUGUGAAAUCCCCGGGCUUAACCUGGGAAUGGCAUUUGGGACUGCAAGGCUGGAGUGUGGCAGAGGAGACUGGAAUUCCCGGUGUAGCAGUGAAAUGCGUAGAUAUCGGGAGGAAUACCGAUGGCGAAGGCAGGUCUCUGGGCUGACACUGACGCUCAUGCACGAAAGCGUGGGGAUCAAACAGG
rnacentral:rRNA from 1 species